UACGGAGGGAGCUAGCGUUGUUCGGAAUUACUGGGCGUAAAGCGCACGUAGGCGGCUUUGUAAGUUAGAGGUGAAAGCCCGGGGCUCAACCCCGGAACUGCCUUUAAGACUGCAUCGCUUGAAUCCAGGAGAGGUGAGUGGAAUUCCGAGUGUAGAGGUGAAAUUCGUAGAUAUUCGGAAGAACACCAGUGGCGAAGGCGGCUCACUGGCCUGGUAUUGACGCUGAGGUGCGAAAGCGUGGGGAGCAAACGGG
rnacentral:rRNA from 1 species